UUUGAUAAACAAAUGUUUCUGAUUUCGGGAAAUGUGGUAAAAGACAUGUUUAAGAUAAGGUUUUAUGGAUCGGUUCUUGAAGCUUGGGGUUACUUUAAGUCGGAGCGGAAAGAACAUUUUGGUUUUGAUGAACCACUUCUGCACAGUCCUUGGUUUUCUAAAAAAAUGCAUUAUAUCCAACACUGAAAUUUCUAACUUUGUUUUAGCUGGGAUAACUAAAGUUGGAAACCUGUUUGACUUGUCGAAUAGAGAAUGUUUUUCAGUACAGAAUCUAACUAGAAAAAUUACUGGUAGAUCAUAGAGAAUAGUCGGGAACAUAUUAAAGGAUUUGAAAACAUCUUUUCCUGCAUGUUUGUGGGAUAAUAUAUAACCAAAUUUAUGUCCGGUGGUAACACAAAGGUCUUUUUUUCCAGAAGUGUACAUAACUCCACAGGUAGCUCAAAUUAACAAUGGAGACAAUGUAAACAUGUUGUUAUCCUUUAAAGGCUUGCAAAGUCUUCCGUUUUCCAUGGUGAACAAACAAAAUGCAUAUAUUUCCUGUGUAAAGUCCGACUUUGUCAGACAUCUAAGGGGGAGGAGGCAUACAAAAUGGAGGACUCAUUUCUUGAAGUCGGGAGAUAAUGAACCUUCAUGGCGGUUAUUGUAUAAGAACUUUCUACCAAAAAAAGUCUGGUGACAUACAGUGGCAGAUUUUACAUUGUGCAUUACCAACAAAAGUGUUUUUGUUUAAAUGUAAAUAUGCACCGUCUCCACUGUGUACUUUGUGUGAUGAACUCGAUACUGUGUUUCAUGUCUUUUGUGAAUGUUGUAAACUAUCUCCGCUCUUUAAUCUAUUGUAUACAAUGUUUCGUAGUUUGGGGAUCAUUUUCUUGAAAACAGGGUUUAUUUAUGGGGGUAGAUAUUCUCGCCACAGGCAGGAAAUCUGUACCUAUUCGAAUUUUUUGGUCGGUCAAGCAAAAUUAGCCGUUUGGAAGGCUGACAAAAUGGGAUCAGAAGGGAAAGAAGUAAACAUGGUUAAAUUAUUUAAGGCCUUGGUUGAGUCUAGGAUUAGAUUAAAGUAUGAAUUUUACCAAAUGAAUGGUGAUCUUCCGAUGUUUGAGAAGAAAUGGUGUGUAAACAAAGGGGUGACUUAUAAGAGGCGAGAAUCUCUUUUUCAAUUGGUAAUGGUUGUUAAAACAAUGUGUUCUGUAUGUUAAGGUUUUUUAAUUGUAGAAUAAAUUAUAUUUUAAAAGUCAAAGUCUCUCUCUCUCUCCCCCUGCAGAUGUGUUGUUAUCUCUAGCAUCCCUGCUGGUGCCUCUGCAAAUUACACCUGCAACAUGAGGGGUCGUUAUGUGAACAUCAUCAUUCCCAAUGUUAUCCAGGCUCUCACGCUCUGUGAAGUGGAAGUCUAUGGGGUUCCAGGCUACACUUUUAUAUCCAGUUCACAAUUUCAUAUACAUUUGAAGUCAAAUUAAGUUUUACAACAGCUACUAAAUAUCAACAUUGCUAAUUUUUUUUAGUGCCUGUUACUAAGAGGGCAUUUCUGAGAUUGAAGUUUAACAUCAGUGAGUAUCUUAUGAACCCUACUGUGAGGGACAAAAUUAUUCAAAAGGUUUGUGUUCAUGACAUGUAUGGUAGAUUCAUAAAUAAAUAAAUAAAUAAUACUAAUUUUUCAUCAUAGACGAUAUCUACCAAUGCCCAGCCUUCAGUGCGUCAGAUCUGUUGGACUACAGAACCAGAGGUGGAAAAUGAAACUUAAAAAACGGUGGCAGAAAUAUAUCUGAAACAACAAGAAGAAGAAGCGGAAGAAGAAGAAGAAGUGUUCAAAGAACAAAAAGAAAGAAAAAACAUCAAAUGUGUGAGGUUUGGGUUUAGCACUUGAAAAUGCUAGCUAACUGAUGUUAUAGGUUUAUUAAUUAGAAGUACUAGAAGUUUUUUAGUUUGUUUGUUUGGGAAAUGUAUCCAUGAAAAAUUAUUACCACAGGGUUUGUACAAGGUGCUUGAAUUUGGCAUUUGGAAAUUUAAGUACUGGAAAACCUUGAAAAUAGCCAAUAUUUUUUUUAAUGUUAAAAAAGUGGUUAAAAAGUGCUUGAAUGAUAAAACAUCAAUAAAUAAAAAAUAACAAUCACUUUAAAGGGUUUAUUUUCAAAAGAACACGAAUACAAUCCUUUCACUCAAAAUAUGACUCCCCGCUGCAGCCCCUCCUCCUCCUGCCGUUCACUCAUUCAUUUUAACAGGGACAGCUUCGGUCCACUUCUCAGACCCCUUUAGCAACUUUUUUUUUUUUUUUUUUUUAAAGCAUCUAGCGACAUAUCUAGCGACUUUUUGGACAAACCUUAGCUACUUUCCAUAGAAGAUAAUGGCCAGUACUGCGCGGCGAGUGCGAGGUCCUGCUUUCAGAAACAGAAAAAAUGUCCAGAAUGUCUCUGAAACACUUCAGCCUAUGAUUAGCCCUGGAUUCCUGGGAGGACACUGUAGCAGUCUCUGAGGAUUUCUUCUCAUCACUCCACUGUAAAAACAAACAAACAAAACAAACAAACAAAAAAAAAAACAAA